CAGUAGCCACGGGAAUACGAAGGGGGCUAGCGUUGUUCGGAUUUACUGGGCGUAAAGCGCACGUAGGCGGACUUUUAAGUCAGGGGUGAAAUCCCGGGGCUCAACCCCGGAACUGCCUUUGAUACUGGGAGUCUUGAGUUCGAGAGAGGUGAGUGGAAUUGCGAGUGUAGAGGUGAAAUUCGUAGAUAUUCGCAGGAACACCAGUGGCGAAGGCGGCUCACUGGCUCGAUACUGACGCUGAGGUGCGAAAGCGUGGGGAGCAAACAGGAUUAGAUACCCGUGUAGUCCCUGUCUCUUAUAC
rnacentral:rRNA from 1 species